AUUAUUAAAGGGCCGCGGUAUUCCUGACCGUGCGAAGGUAGCAUAAUCAUUAGUCUUUUAAUUGAAGGCUUGUAUGAAAGGUUGGACGAAAAAUGGACUGUUUCAAAUAAAAAGAUUGAAUUUAACUUUUAAGUGAAAAGGCUUAAAUAAGUUAAAAAGACGAUAAGACCCUAUAAAUCUUUACAUUUGUUAUUAUAGGUUUUGGAUUGUGUGUGUAAAAAAAAAUAUAAUAAAAAUGUUGUGUUGGGGCAACAGUGAUAUAGUAAUAUUAAUUGUUAAAAAUAAAAACAAAUAUAUUUGUUAAAUAAAGAUCCUUUUUAAAGAUUUAAAGAUUAAGUUACUUUAGGGAUAACAGCGUUAUUUUUUCUGAGAGUUCUUAUCGAAGAAAAAGAUUGCGACCUCGAUGUUGAAUUAAAAAUUCUUUUUAAUGCAGCAGUUAAAAAAGAAAGUCUGUUCGACUUUUAAAUUUUUACAUGAUUUGAGUUCAGACCGGCGUGAGCCAG
rnacentral:rRNA from 1 species